rnacentral:rRNA from 1 species
CCUACGGGUGGCUGCAGUGAGGAAUAUUGGUCAAUGGGGGAAACCCUGAUGCAGCGACGCCGCGUGGGCGAAGAAGUAUUUCGGUAUGUAAAGCCCUAUCAGCAGGGAAGAAGAAAUGACGGUACCUGAGUAAGAAGCACCGGCUAAAUACGUGCCAGCAGCCGCGGUAAUACGUAUGGUGCAAGCGUUAUCCGGAUUUACUGGGUGUAAAGGGGGCGCAGACGGCAGCGCAAGCCAGGAGUGAAAGCCCGGGGCCCAACCCCGGGACUGCUCUUGGAACUGCGCGGCUGGAGUGCAGGAGGGGCAGGCGGAAUGCCUGGUGUAGCGGUGAAAUGCGUAGAUAUCAGGAGGAACACCGGUGGCGAAGGCGGCCUGCUGGACUGCGACUGACGUUGAGGCCCGAAAGCGUGGGGAGCAAACAGGAUUAGAUACCCUUGUAGUC